UACAGAGGUCUCAACCGUUGUUCGGAUUCAUUGGGCGUAAAGGGUGCGUAGGCGGUCGCGCAAGUCGGAUGUGAAAUCUUAGGGCUCAGCCCUGAAACUGCAUUCGAUACUGCGUGGCUCGAGUACUGGAGAGGAGACUGGAAUUUACGGUGUAGCAGUGAAAUGCGUAGAUAUCGUAAGGAAGACCAGUGGCGAAGGCGAGUCUCUGGACAGUUACUGACGCUGAGGCACGAAGGCCAGGGGAGCAAACGGG
rnacentral:rRNA from 1 species